rnacentral:rRNA from 1 species
CCUACGGGAGGCAGCAGUGAGGAAUAUUGGUCAAUGUGCGCGAGCCUGAACCAGUCAAGUCGCGUGAGGGAAGACGGUCCUAUGGAUUGUAAACCUCUUUUGUCGGGGAGCAAAAGACGCCACGCGUGGCGUUCCGAGAGUACCCGAAGAAAAAGCAUCGGCUAACUCCGUGCCAGCAGCCGCGGUAAUACGGAGGAUGCGAGCGUUAUCCGGAUUUAUUGGGUUUAAAGGGUGCGCAGGCGGAAGAUCAAGUCAGCGGUAAAAUUGAGAGGCUCAACCUCUUCGAGCCGUUGAAACUGGUGUUCUUGAGUGAGUGAGAAGUAUGCGGAAUGCGUGGUGUAGCGGUGAAAUGCAUAGAUAUCACGCAGAACUCCGAUUGCGAAGGCAGCAUACCGGCGCUCAACUGACGCUCAUGCACGAAAGUGUGGGUAUCGAACAGGAUUAGAUACCCUUGUAGUC